CAUGCUCUCUAUCUCUCUUUUGGACUUGGUCCGCAUAAUGAUUCCGUUGUUUAUGAGCUUAUCACUUAAUGAGUCUCAUUUAAAUUUAUGCAUUUUUGAUAAUUACGAAGUUCAUACCCAAAUUUGGACCCUAGUCAUCUCUCUAUUGCAAUCUGUAAAUAGUAGAAUUCGAGUUCGUAUAUGUAUAAAUGUUUCCUUGACCAGUUGUUCUUUGUUUGUU